rnacentral:rRNA from 1 species
AGAGUUUGAUCAUGGCUCAGAUUGAACGCUGGCGGCAGGCUUAACACAUGCAAGUCGAGCGGAGAUGAGGUGCUUGCACCUUAUCUUAGCGGCGGACGGGUGAGUAAUGCUUAGGAAUCUACCUAUUAGUGGGGGACAACGUUUCGAAAGGAACGCUAAUACCGCAUACGNCCUACGGGGGAAAGGAGGGGACCUUCGGGCCUUUCGCGANUGGAUGAACCCANGUGGGAUUAGCUAGUUGGUGGGGUAAUGGCUCACCAAGGCGACGAUCCCUAGCUGGUCUGAGAGGAUGAUCAGCCACACUGGAACUGAGACACGGUCCAGACUCCUACGGGGCGCAGCAG